UCGCACUUCUGUCACACAUGUCCUCCAUUAUCUCAUCCAUUAUCAAUUCUUCACCGCCUUUAUUUCUGAUUCCACAUGCAACGUUCAUCAACACCACAUGUUCUGAAUCAGAGUCACCAUCACCUUGCGCUAAGUUCGCUACAUCAUCAUUUUUGUUUUUCUUGGCAGACUCAUUAUGCCAGCAUUCAGCCGAGUAAUGGUCGUAUUUGUUACAUGUAUAACAUUGAACAUUUCGCUUAUCUGAACCCUUUCUUCCUCUUCCUCUUGAAUAUCCACCACCUUUGUUGCUUCCUUCUUUUGAAUCAUCAACAUUUCCUUCAUUAUUCUGGUCUGAAAAAUUUGAGUUUCUUCCUCCAUUACGACCACUUCUACCAUGUGAUCUUCCACGACCUCUACCACGAGUCUUGAAACUCUGUUUCGAUCUUGCCUGCAAUGCUUGAUUCGUCGCCUGCGUUGCAGCCAUCUCUGUAUUCUUCCUUUCCAGCAGCCUCUACUCAUGUGCUACGAGCGAGUUCUGCAACUCCUUAAUUUUCAUGGCCUCCCAAGUCUUUAAAUUCUUCAAUGGUGAUCACUAUAUGAUCGUAUUGUGGAGUCAGAGUAGGCAAGAUUUUUUCAAUUAUCUUCUUGUCCUUAACAUUCUUCUCACACGCUCUCAUAUCGUUGACAAGAGCCUGGAUUCUUCCCACAUAUUCUGUCACAGUUUCCUCUAUUCCCAUGCCAAGAAGCUCAUAUUGACGUUGGAGAGACUGCAAUCAAACUUUUUUGACUUUGCCGGAGUUACCAAACGCAUCUUGAAGAAUGUCCCAUACGUCUUUCGCGGUUGCAGCUUUCGAGAACUUUUGGAACAUGGCUGGAGAUAUGCAUUGGUGUAGAAGCAUCCUCGCUUUACAAUCAAGACGACGAUCUUCUUUAUACUUCUUCUUUACAGCUUUUGAGACAUCUUUCAGUGGUUCUUGAAGACCUGACUUCACCACCUCAUCAACUUCUUCAAACCCAAGUAUGGCCUCCAUCUUUACACACUAGUCGUCAUAGUCCUUGCCAUAAAAAAGAGGAAGGUUGUUGUGAAUCAGUCCCGCCAUCACGCCAAGACUUCUGAAGGUUUUUCGAAUCGUAACUAAAAAGCUUUGAAUACCACUGUUAUGUGCUGACAGUGUUUAGGAAGAUAUCAGAGAGAAAAGGAUAGCAGGGAACGUAAAAUGGAAUUCUCAUUAAAAAGAAACUGAAGUAUAAGCAAUGCAUAUAAAGAGAUAACUCUUUGACUAAAACACAGAACAAUUAUAGUUUGACUUUACAAGGUGUAUCAACAUCGUUUAGCUUAGUUAUACAUAUAAAAACAUGUUACGAAAAGGUUAGGUUUAGAAUUUCCUAAGAUUUUAAUUUGAAAUAUUGGGUUCUUGCUUGACUCUGGUACCAUUAUUAAAAAACGGUUAAUCUGUCCAUACAAGGUGUAGAAUUUCCAAUAACACAUGUUUAAGUCAUUUGUAGUGCAUAAUUUUUAGGUUAGAAUUUCCAAUAACACAUGUUUAGGCCAUUUGUAGUACAUAACAAAUGGGUCACCCUAAUGCUUGGUGAAAACUGGGUUUCUUUGAGGCAUUUUAUCAUACACUUUUCUGUUUUGCAUUUAAGAGCCAUUUUAGGUAGAAUCAAGUUCUGGAACAUCUCCCAUUCAUUUUUCUUGAUGAUUCUACAGGUUAAUUCACCAUAUUAGAGCAUUCCAUCAUCAAUUGCAAGGAGAUUUGAGCAAUUCUUUCUUAAAAAUCUGUCAAGACAAUGCCAUUAUUAGCGCAGUUCUAUUUUAAGCAAUUUUAAUAAUUUUCAUUGAUCCACUACACUGUUUUAGUUUCAUAUUCUUUUCUUUCCCAUUUGUUUCAUCUUUAAGGUGAUAAUUGAGCA
rnacentral:lncRNA from 1 species